rnacentral:lncRNA from 1 species
AAAAAAAAAAAAGCAUAUAUUGUCUCUCAUGGUUCAGGAGUCUAGAAGUCUACAGCCUGAAACCGAGGUGUCAGCAGGGUUGGUUCCUUCUGGAGGCUCUGAAGGAAAAACCAUCCCAUGACGUUCUGGUUUCUUUUGGUGGUUGCCAGCAAUCCUUGGCAUUGUUUGACUUGUAGAUGCAUGAUUUCAAUCUCUGUCUCCAUCUUCACGUCACCAUCUUCUCUGAAUCUGUGUGUCCUAUUCUUUUCUCAUAGAGACAUCAGCCACUGAAUUUAAGGCCCAGUCAAAAUCCAGGUUUUAACAAAUUACAAGAUUUUUAACAAAUUACAUAUGCGAAGACUCUGUUUCUAAAUAAGAUCGCACUCUUAGUUUCUGAGUGGGUGCGGAUGCUUUGGAGGACACUCUUCAACCUACUAUGUUGUAGCUCAGCAUUUUUUCUUUUCUUUCUUUCUUUUUUUUUUUUGUUUGAGACAGUUUCGUUCUUGUUGCCCAGGCUGGAGUGCAAUGUUGCAACCUUGGCUCACUGCAAACUCCAUCUCCCGGGCUCAAGCAAUUCUCCUGCCUCAGCCUCCUGAAUAGCAGGGAUUACAAGCAUGCACCCCCAUGACUGGCUAAUUUUGUAUUUUUAGUAGAGAUCGGGUUUCACCAUGUUGGUCAGGUUGGUCUCGAAUCCCUAACCUCAGGUGAUCCACCUGCCUUGGCCACCCAAAGCCCUGAGAUUACAGGCAUGAGCCACUGUGCCUGGCCAGCAUUUUUUCAAAAUGCAAUUUGUGUGGUAACACAUGUUGUGUGGGGUAUUUUUGAAAAAUUAGGUUAAAGGAUUCAAAGCUAUUCUUUUUAUUCCUUUUAUUAGAGCUUUUCCUGAUUUCUCAGGCCUUUUAACACCAAAAUAAUGAUUAUGAUUCUUCACAGGGAAAUGUAAUACUCAGUGGUUUCCAAACUUACUUGAAUGAAGAAUAUUUUUUUUGGUAGCAUACCAAGGAAUAAGUUUUUUUUGUUUGUUUUUUAUUAAUAGGCAGUUCUUUGAGAGAUGAUGGGGAAAUACUGGGAAAGACAAGUCUCAAGUGCUUCAUAGAAUGAAGUUCACUUCAUUUUCUGCCCUCCAGCAUCUCUUAGAAUGCUCGCCUGAACUCUAGUACAACUAGACACAUCUCACAAAGUCCAGUGGAAAGAGCUAAGCUUGUCUGUCUUUGCUUUUUACCUGAUUUCCUGUGGAUACUGUCAAAGUAAUUUUUUUAAUGUGAAGUAUUGGAAACGUUCAUUGUUUCUUUGCAUGAGUUAGGGGGGAUAGGAUGCUUUUCUAGAAUAAUAGUAACUACCAGAUAAUUAGCACACGUAAUAGAGCAGACUUUGAGAUAGUUUAUAAAAUCUUAUUUAAUGAAAUAACAUAAAAUAUUAAUGUAAUUUAAUCCUUUUGAUGUCCCUGUAGGCUUUAAUAUUACUUCCAUUUAACAGAUAAGAAGGUUCAGAGAGCGGUUACUUGCCCAAGUUCACACAGCUGGUAAACUCAGGAGCCCUCACCCCUUAUCACUACGUGGGCUUCCUCUCCACAUAAGUGCACAUUUUGCUAUUUUAUCACCCUGUAUGUGGUGUGUAUGUGUGUGACUUACAUCACUAAGUGUUGUAGAUGCUGCUUUCCUAUUUACUUAUUUACUUUUAAUUUAUGAGCUCCUUAGGUUUCACUAAAUGUGUGUAAUUGACUUGGAGAUAAAAAUGCCCACUUACUGCCUCUCACAACAAUUUGGCUUUAACAAUUUAAACAAUGGCACCCCUGGCAAAUCACAAAGGCCGAUUAGCAAGUUUUCAGGGCUGUGCUUACAAUUGCUGCCACCUCUAUCCCUAUUAUUACAUCCAGAGAAUGGAUGAGGUUAGAGACAAAAUGGUCUAAUUAACCAGGAGCUGCUUCAGUAUCCUCAAUGACCAGCCAAAGAUUAAUCAGAAACCAGGACCUUGCUUUGCAGAUGGGUGAGAGAUGAUGCUGAGAGGUAUGUCAAUGAACAAUGGCACUGCAAUGACUAAUAGCCAAUUAUGUCUAUAACCUGAAACAACUGGUUGAGAAAUUCUCUCAGGCAAACGUGGGCAAUCAAGAGGAGAGCUUGGGAAUUAUCUCUUGUCUCAGAGAUAAUGCUUUUGUAUCUCAAGAGUUUUAGAGAAGCUGACAGAUCCACAAAUGGCAAAAGAUUAAUAAAAAAGUUAAUGAUCUGAAUGCUUUAUUUUUUUCAGUGUUCUACAGGUUUCUUCUCCCACAGCUAUUGAUCACUGAUAGACAUAUGGGAACUCUAACCUGCGCUAGGCUGGGCAGAAAGUUUUAUAGGUGGACAGCUUUUACUUGUGGCUAUUUUUGUUUACCUCUAAAUCUCCAAGACCUGCAAUAAUGCAUGGUAUUUAGUGAUUGCUUGAUACAUAUUUGGCGAAUAAAUAAUCAGAUGAUGUAAAUGGUAGUUUUUAAUAUUAAAAUUACUAAAUUUCCUAUAAACCCAUCACCAGACACUUUAUUGAGUAUGAAGCAUUUAUUUUGUUUUUGCUGUCAUUGUUUUUGGAAGGAAUAUCUUUCGAGGGCCUAUGAUAAGUCAGGUCUUGGUCCAAGAGCUUUGCAUUAUAAUGUCAGUUAACCCUCAUCAUAACACUUCAUUCAUUCAACAACAAAUAUUUAUUGUCUUCCCUCUGCCAGUCACUUUUAGAGACCAAGCAUACAGCAGGAGAUGAAACAAAAACAAAAACAAAAACAAAAAAAUCUCUUCUUCUUAUGGAUCUGAAAAGAAGGAAGUGUUAUCAUUAUCAUCCACUUUUUAUCAGAGCAGUUAAGCCAUUUGCUGAGGUCAGAAGUAUCUUGGCUCCAGAGAAAAUGCAGGCCCCAACUGAAGAGCCUUACUCAAAGCACACUGCCUCUAUCCCAGCCACUAUGCUGAAGGUUUUCUGCACCAUAUUUCAUGUGAUAUUUCUGCAGAGAUUACUACACUAAAGAAGGAAAGAAGGCUCUUACUCUCACGAUGAAUGCUCAGCCUGAGCAAAUGCCAAAUGCUGUUAAGCAAUGCCCAUCUCCAAAACAAAUUCUUUCUGAUUCAGUCACCAAGGUUAAAGGAGGUAUUUCCAUAACCACAAGCAAAUUAGUCUAGUUUUGCAUUAACAAUAAUGAGAUGGGGCAAUAAGAACCUAACCUUUCAUUGUCUCUUUUUGCUUUAUGACAAAGACAGCACUUUUUCAUACUGGACAAGAAAGGAAUUACUUGCUGCUGAGUUUUGUGCAAGCCUUGUGUUAGCUCAUGAAAAAAUAAAAAUAAAAAAAAAACUUCUCUUUGGCUGCAGAGAUAUCUGGUACAGGUCUCGUAUGGAACACAGAAGGUUUCAGUGAUGUGUCCCAAAAAUGUAGAAAUAAGAUUAUACUAAAGGUGAGAAUAGUAAGAUUCAAUACAUAAUGAAUGAGGUCAACCACCUGUCAAAAUAGCCACAAGAGUUGACUAUAAAUAUAUGCCUGAAAAUGUUUGGAGACACUCAGUUUCAUUCAAAAGGUAAACUAAGAAGGCAGAAUCAGGUGGAGCCUAAACAAAGGCUAUGAGUUUAAUCAGUUACUCUUUACUAAAAAGUCAAUUAACUAUAAAGAUGUCUGUAUAGACCCAGAAAAGAAAAGUAAAAGUAAAAAGAACAAGAGUUUGGUAGUGUUUUCACAGCACUCUUUCUAAGGAACAGGGGGAAUUUACAAGUCUUCAUCAAAACUCUAACAAAUAUCUCUCAAGAUUAUUCAUAUUCCAUACUGGCCAACCAACUCCCUGAUACAUAGGUAUUUUUAAAUUUAGGUUUUAUUACUAUUCAGGUAUCAUGAACCCAAGAAAUCAGGAGAAGAUUACCAUUGAAAAGAUGGUUUAUUAUUCACAGGUCCCAAGAGGAGGGGGCAGGACCCACCAUGCAGGGUUUCAGAGGAAUCACCAGGCUCAGUUUAGAGGCAGAGAAAGUGGAGAAAAACAUAGGCAAGAGCCUGUAUAGAGGUUUCCAUGGAAAAGAAUACAAUGUAAGAAGGCUUAGAAAUGGCUAGUUGGAUCAUCUCUUCAGAUUCUGGGGUGCAGAGGCUGUCUUUAGUUGUCUGGAACCUGGCCCCGGAAUAAUUAGGACAAGCUGAACCUGGCGUGGAGUGUAAAGGAUCAGUAAAGGAGAUGGUUGGGAUGUGGGUAGUAGAUUGUUUGAUUUGCCUAUUAAAGGCAUAUGAAAAGGAUGCUGGAAGGGGAGUCUUUUUUUUUAAUCUCUAAGAAUUGCCUAACUUUGGAAAGGGCAGUCUUUCCAGAGUCAGCAAGUCCCUAGAUGUCAAAGCAUCAAAAGUACAGAAAAUAAAAAGACAGGAUUAAUAUAACAUCUCAUGCUGCCAGGUAGCAGGAAAAAAGGAAUAAGAUACAUGUUCUCAAUGGAGUUGACAUCACCCCCAAGGAGGUGAAAAUUGGCUCUGGGGUAUUGGGAGAAAUGAAAGAAAAUGUUACUUUCCAUGUAUAAGGCACAGAAAUACAUAAACAGAUAUAUACAGAUAAACAAUACAAAUGCAGUAUCAAAAUUUCAUUGGCAGUGGUCUCAAAAGUCUCCUUUGUGAGGAGAGGAGGGUGAUAAUGAACUAAAGGUUGAGAACAGGGAAUCCUAGAUAAGAGAUGUAAGUAUAUGGUAAAUGAAAAAAGAAAACAGCAGAUUACAAUAAUACAUUAUUAGCAUAUUAAUAUAUUAAUGUAAGUAAAUAUAUCAUUUUUCUGAUUUAUAUGUAAAUGUUUUCUAAAUUUUCUUUGCAAGUUUUUCUCCAUAAAGAUCUGAUCCACUCUGAGAAUGCUAAGAAAACCCAGUCUCCCAAGUCCACAGAGCUAAGAAUCAGAUUCUGAAGUGAGGAGUCUGAGAACAUGAUGCCCUGUACAGUUCAUCUUGGCAUUUUAAAAAGAUCACAACAUUAGCACACACAUGAAGAUAAGAAGAAAAGAGGCCAUGCCUGCGGAAUUAUGCCAGUGCUUUUCAGGCUCUGUGGAAAGUCAGCUACCUGGAGUACCUCCUUGAAAUCUGGAGAACAAAGAUGCUCAUCAUCAGAUUCCAGUUCUAGUGGGGAAAUAAAGUUACUAAAAGUUCAUGCACAGGGAUGUUGAGCUAGUUUUAUUUUUCUCCCUUGGAUAUUGGGACAAAACAGUGAGUAGAUUCUUCCACAAUUCCUGAACAAGAUGUUUAGAAGAGUAGCUGAAAAUAGUUAAGAAAAUAUUAGUAGAAUGAAUGAAUAUAAAAAUACCUUGAAAUUAUUCAAUAUAUAUUGAAUGCCUAGAAAGAAUAAAGCUUUGAAAAGCAGAACGAUUAAGAAAAAAAAGCACAGUUUCUGAACAAAAUGAAGAGAUGUUCUGUGAUGAGUGUAUGAGGAUAGGGGUUUGGCAGUGACGUUGUCAGAGCGAUGAUAGGCAGAGGAGGUAUUUUAUGAUGGAGUGUAUGGAAAGAAACAAUGUGUGGCAUAGAUACACAUUGAAUAUUCUAUUCAGUAGUUUUUGGUAAAUGUUAUCACUGUUUUGAUUCCUUAUAAAGAAUCAGCCUGACUGAGCAGAAUAAAAUGCUCUCAAAUAUCAAUUUUCCACACCCAUGAAUAACCUAGCUGUUUAAGCCAUGAAUCCUUAACACACAAACCAGUCACAAGGGAUAAACCCUAUGUGCAGGGCACAUACUCCGUAGAAAGAGGUCACCUUUCCAACUGAAAACUGCAUAAAUGUAAUACCUGGAGACACACAUACACACAAGUACAAACAGGUAUCUAUAAUAUUGUGUCUCAACAAGAUGCACCCUCAAAAUUAAGGUGUUUGUGUUAUUCGGCUCAUUAAAAAUACACAAACAAAGACAAAUGCUAUAUUUGUUUUGCCACUUUUGCUACUCAGUUUUAUGUAAAACAGGAUGAAAUAACAAAAAAACCCCUAAGAUUUGGAAUAAUAAGCAGCUUGCAUAAUUUGAUGAUACAUGCAUAAUCACAAUAUCUGAGAAGUCAUCUCCUUUUUCUGUGACCUUUAUAGAGAGAGAGCAACCUCAGGAUUUUUCCCCCUUCAUGGGAUGUGAGUAAGUGAGUUGUGUAGUGGAGAAUGUGUUUUAUUCAUUGUGCAUCUCUAGAGAAAAUCAGGUCACCUUCAAUGAUCUUAUCAGUCAAAGAAAAUAGUACUGCUUCACAGAGCUAUUAAAAUGGAAGAGAAUUAGAAUGUAUAAAAAGCUUUCAGAUGCCAAGAUCAAAGGGGAAAAAAGGUCAUACACUAGGCAGGGACUGUUGCCUUUGCCGAAAUUCACAAUUUUGAUUAACAUGAAGUUGUAAAUGACUACAACAGUGUAAGCAGUCAUAAUAAAAUAAAGUAAGAAACCAAGGCCAAGGACAUUACAAAAAUGCAAAGAAAAAAAAGUAAAAAAAAUAAGAACAAGUGAGGAAGAAACUAAAAGAGAAUUAGAAUAAUAUGCUUUUGGAUCAUUUGUUUAUGAUUCACAAAGCACUUUAUCAUAUAACAGGGAUUUUAACUCUCACAAAUGAGGGAGGCGUUGUUAUCCAUACUUCACAGAGGUGGAGACCAAGGCUCAAACCAUAUAAAUGUGUGCAGGUGCAAGGGACUGAGAGGCAGCAGAGCUACUAUUCACUCCCAAACCUCUCAUACAAUCAAUAGAACACUGUAAGAUCUCCAUAAAUAUUGGUGAAAUGAAUAAGCUUGCAUUUAAGCCUGUUUUUCAAAAUUCCAUAUCUAAUGCUCUUUCCAAUUAGCUGAUCCCUCAAUGAGUGAUGAAUUUAUGCAAAAGCAUUUCUAUUCUAGUUGAAACAUUGCUGACAGAUAAGUAGAUAAAAUAUUUAGUAAACCUGGAUUUUAAAAAUAGAGUCAGCAGGAUUAGUAUCUUAGGGUAACAAUGUCAAACUAGAAAGGGAAAAAAAUUGAUUCAUCUAUUUUGGUGGGAACUAAUAACAAGAAUAAUACUGUCAUUCAGCAAAUUAUGUCUUAAUUACAUUCAAGGUAAUUAAUUGAGCACUGCCUGUGUGUCAACACAGAAAUGGAAAGUAUUAUGAAUACCCAUCCCCACUUCAUCUUGAUUCAUUAAUUCUUGAUAUGUUGCCACAUUUGUGCUCUUUCUUUAUGUAUCUUUCUCUCACUGUCUCUCUCUCUCUUUCUCCUUCUCUUUCAUUUACUCUUUCUCUUUCUUUUCAUUUUUUUUGCUGAACUAUUUGAAAUUAAGUUUCAGAGACCUCCAACUUUUGCUUGGGAUGAACAAAGCUGGAAUAAAAAAGUAUUAUGCCCACUCUCAGCAUUAAAAAAGAAUUGGACAAAUUGCAAAUUCAUAACUUUUCUUGAACUAGUCAGAGAGCUGUGAUUGCAGGAAUACCAACUAACUUAAAACCUAAAAAAAGAUAUGUGCCUAUGGGGAGAGAGGGUAAGCUAGCAUUUGCUCACCUGGUAACAAAUUAGUAAAGAAGGAAUGUGGUUCAGUUGGCUGCAGGCAUAAAACAAAUUUUAACUGGCUUGUAGAUUCUCACUGUAGAAAACCUUGGGGCAAGAUAACAGGGAAAUUUGCACCCAGAAUAGGCUCUUUCCUUGGGCCCCACCAGAAGCUCAUGCACACACAAAAAAAUGACUGUGGUAGAAUCCUCAUUGUACAAAACAUGGGGAGGAGAACAGCAGCCACUGCAGGAAAGACAAGAAGUCCUGCUUGUAUCCCACCCUCCCCUAAUUCUCCUUGGGAGAAAAGCUUUAAACUGCAGGAGGAAGUGUCUUAGGGAACUAGGGAACAGCCAUUGCAGCUAGAGAUAAGAAGCAUUAAAAAUAAAACUCUACUCCCUUCCCAGAAUUACAGCUGUGGGAAACACUGGAACACGGAGGCAGCCACCUUUCUGAAACCUAAGGACAUAAUUCGCCUAAAACCAAGGCUUAAUUAGAACAGCAAUGCUCCUCUUACCACCACGCUCCCGGGCUGAAAAGCCUCCAGUGACAUCUAACAGUGAUUAAGAGCUUUGAGAGUUACAAAAGUGUGUGGGUAGAGACUCCGAGAUUGAUAUAGUUUGGAUGUUUUGUCAUCUCCAAAUCUCAUGCUGAAAUAUAACCUUUAGUGUUGGAAGUGGGCCUAGUGGGAAUAGUUUGGGUCCUGAGGGCAGAUCCCUCAUGAAUGGCUUGUGCUGUCCUUGUGGUAAUGAGUAAGUUCUCACUCAAUGAGUUUAUGCAAGAUUUGGUUGUUUAAAACGAGCCUGAUACCUUCCCCCUGUCAUUCUUGCUCCCUCUUUUGCCAUGUGAUGCUCCUGCUCCCAUUUUGCCUUCCCCUAUGAGUGGAAGUGUCCUGAGACUCUCACCAGAAGAUGUUGGCACCGUGCUUCUUGUACAGCCUGCAGAACCACGAGCCAAAAUAGGCUUCUUUUCUUUAUAAAUUGCACAGCCUCAGGAUUUCCUUUUACAUAGGAAUGCAAUGCAAAUGGACUAACAGAGAGUUGCAGUGUGAAGAGAUUACCCUAAAGAUGGGAGUGAAACAGACUACUCUCUGGCAAACCAGUCCUCACUCUAAACACAAGUAUAACCAAAGGAAGUGGAAGCCAGUGGUAGAGUGCAAGCAUAACAAACCCAAACCCAGCACAACUACUGACUACAUUGCUCAAACUUCCACACUAACGACCUAUCAGAAGUAAAAACAUGCCUAUUCUUAGGUUUAGAAACUAUUUAGUCUCCACUCUUUUGGACAAAAUGUCGAGCUUCAGCAAAAAGUUAUUAAGCAUAUGAGAAAACAGUGGGGGGAAGGAAACUACCAAGAGACAAAGCAAUCAACAGAACCAGAAUCAGAUAUGACAUAGGUAUUGGAACUAUCACAUAGAGAAUUUGAAAUAACUCUAAUUCAUAUAUUGAAGCUCUACUGGAAAACACAGACAAUAUGCAUCAUCAGCAGGCUAAUUUCAAUAGAUAGAUGGUAAAAAUCAAGUAGAAAUCUAGGAAUGGAAAACAUAGUAGCAGUGAUGAAGAAACCUUCAUCUUAUCAGUAGACUUGACAUAUCAAAGGAAAGAUUUGGUAGACUUGAAGAUGUCAUUAAGGAAUUCCUAAACUAAAACACAAAGAGAGAAAGAGUGAAUAAAGCAGAACAGAGCAUCUAAGAGCUGAGUGUAAUUGGAAUCCUGGAAGAAUAAAGUAAGAAAAGUGCAGGGGAGGCCGGGCGUGGUGGCUCAUGCCUGUAAUCCC